UACGGAGGGUGCAAACGUUGCUCGGAAUCAUUGGGCGUAAAGCGCACGUAGGCGGCUCGUUAAGUCGGAUGUGAAAGCCCCGGGCUCAACUCGGGAAGUGCAUUCGAAACUGGCGAGCUUGAAUAUGGAAGAGGGUCGCGGAAUUCCCGGUGUAGAGGUGAAAUUCGUAGAUAUCGGGAGGAACACCAGUGGCGAAGGCGGGGACCUGGGCCAAUAUUGACGCUGAGGUGCGAAAGCGUGGGGAGCAAACAGG
rnacentral:rRNA from 1 species